rnacentral:rRNA from 1 species
CUACGGGUUGCUCCAGGCGAGAAAACUUUGCAAUGUGCGAAAGCACGACAAGGUUAAUCCGAGUGGUUUGUGCUAAACGAACCUUUUGACAGUCCUAGAAACACUGUUGAAUAAGGGGUGGGCAAGUUCUGGUGUCAGCCGCCGCGGUAAAACCAGCACCUCAAGUGGUCAGGAUGAUUAUUGGGCCUAAAGCAUCCGUAGCCGGCUCUGUAAGUUUUCGGUUAAAUCUGUACGCUCAACGUACAGGCUGUCGGGAAUACUGCAGAGCUAGGGAGUGGGAGAGGUAGACGGUACUCGGUAGGAAGGGGUAAAAUCCUUUGAUCUAUUGAUGACCACCUGUGGCGAAGGCGGUCUACCAGAACACGUCCGACGGUGAGGGAUGAAAGCUGGGGGAGCAAACCGGAUUAGAUACCCCCGUAGUC